UACGAAGGUGGCAAGCGUUGUUCGGAUUUACUGGGCGUACAGGGAGCGUAGGCGGUUCGGUAAGCCCUCUGUGAAAUCUCCAGGCUUAACCUGGAACAGUCGGAGGGGACUGCUGGGCUAGAGGACGGGAGAGGAGCGCGGAAUUCCCGGUGCAGCGGUGAAAUGCGUAGAGAUCGGGAGGAAGGCCGGUGGCGAAGGCGGCGCUCUGGAACGUUUCUGACGCUGAGGCUCGAAAGCGUGGGGAGCAAACAGG
rnacentral:rRNA from 1 species